CCAUUGCCGGAGGCGGGUCGGCUGGACUUAUCCAGCUGGUUCACCAUCGGCGCCGGCGGGGGCGACAUAUAUCACAGCGUGUCGCGAGCCCGACCCCGCUUCUUACUCUUUGGCCUACUCCUACUUCUUGUAGGGGUAGGCAUCUUUUUACUCCCCGCUCGAUAGAGCGGCACACUUA
rfam:Hepatitis C virus isolate PTR2795 polyprotein gene, complete cds